rnacentral:rRNA from 1 species
UGACCUCAGAUCAGACAAGAUACCCGCUGAACUUAAGCAUAUCAUACGGGGG